GCAGAAAACGCUGCAAGUCCUGCAUCUCCCAUCUCCUCAUUGGCUUUUAGAAGCAUUUGCCCACGUGCCAUCUCCUCAUUGGUUAUACCCACGUGGGUGGAUGAUUGAAAGAUGAACAGAGGUCGGUGGUAGUAAUACACCUUAUGAAAGUUAGUUGCCAUUCGCCAUAUAAAGUCCAAAGAAGAAAAAGCCUGGAAGGAGGAGAGAUGAAACAAUUCGGUUCACAGUUUUAUGUGUUGAUUAAUUAUCGGAGUAGAGAACCUUGUGCAUUUCAGACAGUGGAGCCUCCAGGUGGCCUCUCUCAAUGCCCCAAGUUACCUCCCCUGUCCCAAACACACUCCUUUAUCACGGCUUCCUCUGGAGACCAUCUCUGCAAUACUGACCUGCAGGCAGUGGAGCCCCCAGCUGGUCCUUCUCAAUGCCCCAAGUUACCUCCCCUGUCUCUAACGCACUCCUUUAUCAUGGCUUCCUCUGGAGACCAUCUCUGCCAUCCUGACCUGCAGGUUAAGAGACUAGCUGACAUAUUAGCUGGGGAAAAGUAGGUUCUGUGUCUGGAUGAGUCUGUACAUUAGGACUGUAUCCCAAGCUUUACAAGGGAAU
rnacentral:lncRNA from 1 species